UACGAAGGGGGCUAGCGUUGCUCGGAAUCACUGGGCGUAAAGCGCACGUAGGCGGAUUCUUAAGUCAGGGGUGAAAUCCCGGAGCUCAACUCCGGAACUGCCUUUGAUACUGGACACCUAGAGUACGGGAGAGGUGUGUGGAACUCCGAGUGUAGAGGUGAAAUUCGUAGAUAUUCGGAGGAACACCAGAAGCGAAGGCGGCCAACUGGCCCGAUACUGACGCUGAGGCGCGAAAGCGUGGGGAGCAAACAGG
rnacentral:rRNA from 1 species